rnacentral:rRNA from 1 species
UACGUAGGUGGCGAGCGUUGUCCGGAUUUACUGGGCGUAAAGGGAGCGUAGGCGGACUUUUAAGUGAGAUGUGAAAUACCCGGGCUCAACUUGGGUGCUGCAUUUCAAACUGGAAGUCUAGAGUGCAGGAGAGGGGAAUGGAAUUCCUAGUGUAGCGGUGAAAUGCGUAGAGAUUAGGAAGAACACCAGUGGCGAAGGCGAUUCUCUGGACUGUAACUGACGCUGAGGCUCGAAAGCGUGGGGAGCAAACAGGAUUAGAUACCCGCGUAGU